UUGAAUUACCUUGCGCCGGUAUCAUUUCGCUUGAGCCGGGAACUCCUGUUUACCUUGAGACAGGUAUUCCUUCUUAUAGAUAUCACCGAAAAAGCGGAAGACUAAGAAGACUUUGUCUCGCCCACGCCCAGGAAAGAAAAGAUCUGAUCAGCAACGGCUUUCGAGUAGAGGAUUUUUUUGCUUUUCAUUAUUCCCUCGGAGUUGAGUUAUAGUUAGCAGAUGGGAUCUAAUUCAUUAGAGGAAGGGAUGGU
rnacentral:lncRNA from 1 species